UGUCCGGUUUGAUCGGCAGAGAUGCCUUUCUUCAGUUCGGCUGGCCGGAACACAGGUGCUGCAUGGCUGUCGUCAGCUCGUGUCGUGAGAUGUUGGGUUAAGUCCCGCAACGAGCGCAACCCUCGCCCCUAGUUGCCAUCAUUCAGUUGGGAACUCUAGGGGGACUGCCGGUGAUAAGCCGCGAGGAAGGUGGGGAUGACGUCAAGUCCUCAUGGCCCUUACAGGCUGGGCUACACACGUGCUACAAUGGCGGUGACAAUGGGCAGCGAAGAGGUGACCUGGAGCUAAUCCCAAAAAGCCGUCUCAGUUCAGAUUGUACUCUGCAACUCGAGUACAUGAAGGUGGAAUCGCUAGUAAUCGUGGAUCAGCAUGCCACGGUGAAUACGUUCCCGGGCCUUGUACACACCGCCCGUCACACCAUGGGAGUUGGGUUUACCCGAAGGCGUCGCGCUAACCGCAAGGAGGCAGGCGACCACGGUAGGCUCAGCGACUGGGGUGAAGUUCGUAACAAGGUAGCCGUAGGGGACCUGCGGAUGGAUCACCUCCUUAAGCUUGGAUACCCGGGG
rnacentral:rRNA from 1 species